UCUUUUCUGUGGGUACAGGCUGGAGAUUAAACCCAAGGCCUCAUACAUGAUCAGCAUUUGUUCUCCUGCUGCCUUCGUUUAAGUUUUUAUCUGUAACUCUUAUUUAUCUUUAGUAAGCAGGCAUGCCCUCCCCACAAGCCCCUUAUCUUUGUUACCACUAUUUGCACAGUUUAAUAGAUGCUGUUUAAAUAGAAAGGACUCCUCAUCCUUUCACAAUGAUGAACAUACGGUUCUGUGAAAAGCAUGAGUUGUUGGUAUAAGCCCUUGCCUGGUACAGCCAGCAUGUAGUGAACCAAAGAUUCCUCAGUGAAGUCCAGCAGAGGUGGCAGCCAACUACUGAACAAAAUCCAGCACAGAAAUACCUGAGCUAGAUGUGUCACUGAAGUCCUUUCCUGUAGAGAACCUGUCCCAGCUGCCAUACACAGGCACCCAACCCACAUCCGGCUGAGUCCUGUCUCCUCACCGAAACCUCCAGAGGCGCCCGCACAGUCAUGCCUAGAGCUGUCUUUCCUAGGUGAUUCUAAAAGCAAGCCAAAUUGUUUUUAUUUUACUGAACAAUGAAGAAUAGCCAUCACAGCCCAGGCUGUCCUGGAACUUUGCUCUGAAGAUCACGCUGGCCUUAAACUCACAGAUCCCCAUAUUCCUCUUUGUCCCUAGUGCUGGGAUUAAAGAAGACAGUCCAUUCGUCUUACAAUCUUCAGCCAGCUCUUGCUGCCAAUGAGCGAAAACCCUUCCUGAAACAGCAAUUAGGUGGGAGAAAAAGGAAAAACCAGCAGAGAACAGUAGAGGCUACACACCUCGGAGAAGUGUUCAGAGGACCCAGCACCGACUGCAGAUCGGAUAGGAAGGGCCCUGUGGCCUGUGGCUCUUCAGCUGCCUGCAUGUGGCUGGCGUUGCAGCCUGAGUUGGAAUAUGCUCAGCCUGAUCACCCACUGGGAGCAAGAACUCCGUGUGGACAGCCUUUUUACCCUAGAAGCUCAAGAACUCUGAAGACAAAAGAAAAUGCCCGUGGCCUUUCCAGUCUCCCCAGUUUGCUCUUCCUAAAUUUAUAGUGGUAAUUUUCAACUUCCAUCAAAAUUCACCAAUAGGCCUGGCGGUGCUGGCGCACGCCUGUAAUCCCAGCACUCUGGGAGGCAGAGGCAGGCAGAUUUCUGAGUUCAAGGCCAGCCUGGUCUACAGAGUGAGUUCCAGGACAGCCAGGGCUAUACAGAGAAACCCUGUCUCCAAAAAACCAAAAAAAAAUAAAAAAACAAAAAAAUUCACCAAUAGUUUCUUUUUAAAAACAGAACAAGAAGUCAGACAGAGCCUUUAUGGUUUCUUAAGAAAACUUUCUCAUAGUGGGUAUGGCAGUACACACCUGAAAUACUUAAGAAAACUGACGCAGGAGGAUUGCCACAUUUGAGUCUGCUCAAGUUUUACAAUGAAACUUGGUCUCAAGAUAAAAACAGGGCCGGGCAGUGGUGGCACAUGCCUUUAAUCCCAACAUUUGGGAAGGCAGGUGGAUUUCUGAGUUCGAGGCCAGCCUGGUCUAGUUCCAGGACACCUACACAGAGAAACCCUGUCUCAAAAAACCAACCAAACAAAUAAAUAAAAAACAGGACAAAACCUCCCAGAUUAGUAAGAAGAAAUGUGUCAUUAUGCCAUCCCCAAAUAAGCUGUUUCAGGUGGCAGGCUCUGGGGAGGCACUGAGUACACAUCAGUGCAGUGCUUAUGGACCACAAUUUGGUAAUAUCAGUAAUGCAGAUGUGUUUAUCCUUUGACCGACAGGCAGAGUGCUAGGGAUGCAUUUGCAGAUCGGUCUGCACCUGUUUUGACACAAUGCACGGACAUUACCAUGCUAAAUCUUACUGCAUUUAUUUGUUUAUUUAGCAAGAGGGAGGAGGCAGAGGGGUGCCAUCAUGCAAGUGUGGAGGUCAGAGGCAACUUGCAAUAUUUUCUCUCCUUCCACCUUCCAGAGGUUAAAUCUAGGUUAGGCUUGUGCAGCAAAUCCUACCUGCCGAGCUACCUCUCAGCUCCAGAACAAGCUAUGUUUUUGCUAGUUAAUGUGAAACGUAGGUUCCCGCCCCCCCCAAAAAAAGUGGUGUUUAAGAUAUUUUAUAUCACUUCCACAUUUUAAAAUAAAUAUUUGGAAUUCA